UGUGUCCCGCGGGCCGCCUGGGUGUGUCCGGCCUCGGAGGAGGAGCUGCCCCUGACACCGCCAUUGGCUGGGCCGCGGCUCCCGCACUGCCUCCGAGGAGGCCCAGGAGCCUUGGGGUUUGAGGCUCGGUCUCCCCGGGGUGCGGAGUCCGGAGUCCGCACCCUGUGGGGGGAGAACCGCAGGGCCACUCGGAGCCCCUGCUCGUCCUCUCGUCCCCGGCCGUGUGCGGGGGCAGCGGGGGCCCGACCUGCCUUCUCCUUCCCUAGCCCCUGGGAGUCCAGGGGCUGCGCCCGGGCCUCCCACCCCUGUCUCCAGCACGUGCGGCGGCGGCAUUCACGGCCCGUCCCGCGUGCCUUCCCCUCGCUGUUCUCAUCACCUGCUACUCCUCCAAGAAGCCUUCCCUGACUGCCGCUCCAGGGGACUUAGGGGCCUCCCCUCUGGGCCCCGUGGCCUUGACCUCCCACAUCGUCCUGGCUGUCCUGGAGCACUUGACCUCAGCGGAGCUCGUUCCAGGAAAUUGCCCCAGCCGCCCCAGCCUUCAGCACGGACUGCCCCGACGAGUGAGCAAGACCCUCCACCAGCAAAAAGAUUCCAACUCGCCGAAAGCUCGGAUGACAGUUAGCAUUUUUAAGCUAAGGGCCAGGCCCGUUCGAGGCCCUCGGCGAGUAUGUGCCAAAGGAACAAACGAGUGAGUGAACAGAUGCAUGUUGGGGUGAGAAGCAGGAGGCGCAUGAGGCAAGUGGUGCAGAGGGCGUCCUGGGAGAGGCCGUGGCUGUGCUGGAGUCGGUGUCCUGGGAUGGUUCCUCAGGGCCCAGGGGCUUGGGAAGAGGAGGGGAGAGUCGACAGGGGAGGAGGGCUGCUGAGGCUGGCUGCCCGGGGGACUAGGAUGGCUCUGUGACCGGGGGCCCAGAUCACAGGGUGUCGCUGGGGAGCCGGACAGAGGAACAGGGAAAUCAUGAAGCGUCAUGACAGCUGCGUAAUGGAGCCUGUUUGGGCCCCACGAGGCUGGAUUCCAGUGCUGUCGCUGCCGGCUGAGGCCCCUGCGUGGCCCUGGGAGGAGGUGGCUCCCUCGGGUGGCGCCGGGCCUUGGUG